rnacentral:rRNA from 1 species
UACGUAGGUGGCAAGCGUUGUCCGGAUUUAUUGGGUUUAAAGGGUGCGUAGGCGGCCCCGUAAGUCAGUGCUGAAAUAUCCCGGCUUAACCGGGAGGGUGGCAUUGAUACUGCGAGGCUUGAGUAAAGUUGAGGUAGGCGGAAUUGACGGUGUAGCGGUGAAAUGCUUAGAUAUCGGGAGGAAUACCGAUGGCGAAGGCAGGUCUCUGGGCUGACACUGACGCUCAUGCACGAAAGCGUGGGGAGCAAACAGG